rnacentral:rRNA from 1 species
GACGAACGCUGGCGGCGUGCCUAAUACAUGCAAGUAGAACGCACAGUUUAUACCGUAGCUUGCUACACCAUAAACUGUGAGUUGCGAACGGGUGAGUAACGCGUAGGUAACCUGCCUGGUAGCGGGGGAUAACUAUUGGAAACGAUAGCUAAUACCGCAUAAUAUUGAUUAUUGCAUGAUAAUUGAUUGAAAGAUGCUAUUGCAUCACUACCAGAUGGACCUGCGUUGUAUUAGCUAGUAGGUGAGGUAACGGCUCACCUAGGCGACGAUACAUAGCCGACCGGAGAGGGUGAUCGGCCACACUGGGACUGAGACACGGCCCAGACUCCUACGGGAGGCAGCAGUAGGGAAUCUUCGGCAAUGGACGAAAGUCUGACCGAGCAACGCCGCGUGAGUGAAGAAGGUUUUCGGAUCGUAAAGCUCUGUUGUAAGAGAAGAACGGGUGUGAGAGUGGAAAGUUCACACUGUGACGGUAGCUUACCAGAAAGGGACGGCUAACUACGUG